AUUGAACGCUGGCGGCAGGCCUAACACAUGCAAGUCGAGCGGAGCGGCGGACGGGUGAGUAAUGCCUAGGAAUCUGCCUGGUCGUGGGGGAUAACGUCAGGAAACGGGCGCUAAUACCGCAUCCUAUCAGCUGAGCCUAGGUCGGAUUAGCUCUUUGGUGGGGUAAAGGCCUACCAGGGCGACGAGCCGUAUCUGGUCUGAGAGGCUGAUCAGUCACCCUGGAACUGAGACACGGUCCAGACUCCUACGGGAGGCAGCAGUGGGGAAUAUGGCACAAUGGGCGAAAGCCUGAUCCAGCCAUGCCGCGUGUGUGAAGAAGGGCUUCGGAUUGUAAAGCACUUUAAGUUGGGAGGCGGUACCAACAGAAGAAGCACCGGCUAACUUCGUGCCAGCAGCCGCGGUAAUAC
rnacentral:rRNA from 1 species